UACGGGGGGAGCAAGCGUUGUUCGGAUUUACUGGGCGUAAAGCGCGCGCAGGUGGUUUCUUAAGUCUGAUGUGAAAGCCCACGGCUCAACCGUGGAGGGUCAUUGGAAACUGGGGAACUUGAGUGCAGAAGAGGAAAGUGGAAUUCCAAGUGUAGCGGUGAAAUGCGUAGAGAUUUGGAGGAACACCAGUGGCGAAGGCGACUUUCUGGUCUGUAACUGACACUGAGGCGCGAAAGCGUGGGGAGCGAACAGG
rnacentral:rRNA from 1 species